rnacentral:rRNA from 1 species
CCUACGGGGGGCUGCAGUGGGGAAUAUUGGACAAUGGGGGCAACCCUGAUCCAGCAAUGCCGCGUGGGUGAAGACGGCCUGCGGGUUGUAAAGCCCUUUGGGCGGGGAGGAACGUCGUCGUGCGAACAGUGCGGCGAUCUGACGUCACCCGCGGAACAAGCACCGGCUAACUCCGUGCCAGCAGCCGCGGUAAUACGGAGGGUGCGAGCGUUAAUCGGAAUUACUGGGCGUAAAGCGUGCGUAGGCGGUUCGGUCAGUCAGCCGUGAAAGCCCCGGGCUCAACCUGGGAACGGCGGUUGAGACGGCCGGACUGGAGUGGGCUAGAGGAUCGUGGAAUUCCGGGUGUAGCGGUGAAAUGCGUAGAGAUCCGGAGGAACACCGAUGGCGAAGGCAGCGGUCUGGGGCCACACUGACGCUGAGGCACGAAAGCGUGGGGAGCAAACAGGAUUAGAUACCCCGGUAGUC